CAUAACUUUAAGCUAUGAUAUAUUUCUGUCACGAUCCCUAGUGAUCUUAAACAUAUGCUCAGAUUCCAAUUUGUCACAUUUUCCAAUAAUCUUAAACCUCAAACUUUAAUGCCACUAAGGCCACAGUCCCUAGUGGUCUUAAACCUUAGAUUAUAAUAUCAUUCUUGUUACAAUCUCAAGUGAUUAUAACCCAAAUCUCUGAUAGUUUUUCUAUCAUAAUUCUCCACUGAUACUCACCUGAACAUAAACCCUAAGAUACCUCAACCUUAAGCUCUGAUACCACUCUGUCACGCCC
rnacentral:lncRNA from 1 species